rnacentral:rRNA from 1 species
UACGGGGGGGGCAAGCGUUGUUCGGAAUUACUGGGCGUAAAGGGCUCGUAGGCGGCCAACUAAGUCAUACGUGAAAUCCCUCGGCUUAACCGGGGAACUGCGCCUGAUACUGGAUGGCUUGAGUUCGGGAGAGGGAUGCGGAAUUCCAGGUGUAGCGGUGAAAUGCGUAGAUAUCUGGAGGAACACCGGUGGCGAAGGCGGCAUCCUGGACCGAUACUGACGCUGAGGAGCGAAAGCCAGGGGAGCAAACGGG